GGGCCGGUGGUCUAGCUCGGUAUGACGCGUCCCUCACACGGACGAGGACACUAGUUCAAAUCUGGUCCGGCCCA
rnacentral:tRNA from 1 species